rnacentral:rRNA from 1 species
GAUGAACGCUAGCUACAGGCUUAACACAUGCAAGUCGAGGGGCAGCACAGUGUAGCAACACAUGGGUGGCGACCGGCGCACGGGUGCGUAACGCGUAUCCAACCUUCCCGAUACUCUUGGAUAGCCUUCCGAAAGGGAGAUUAAUACAAGAUGGUGUUUCACUUUCGCAUGUUAUUGAAACUAAAGAUUUAUCGGUAUCGGAUGGGGAUGCGUGACAUUAGAUAGUAGGCGGGGUAACGGCCCACCUAGUCUACGAUGUCUAGGGGUUCUGAGAGGAAGGUCCCCCACACUGGAACUGAGACACGGUCCAGACUCCUACGGGAGGCAGCAGUGAGGAAUAUUGGUCAAUGGUCGGAAGACUGAACCAGCCAAGUAGCGUGAAGGAUGAAGGUUCUAUGGAUUGUAAACUUCUUUUAUACGGGAAUAAAACACCUUACGUGUAGGGUCUUGUAUGUACCGUAUGAAUAAGCAUCGGCUAACUCCGUGCCAGCCGCCGCGGUAACAC